AUACGGAGGGUGCGAGCGUUAAUCGGAAUUACUGGGCGUAAAGGGCGCGUAGGCGGUUAAAUCAGUCAGAUGUGAAAGCCCCGGGCUUAACCUGGGAAUGGCAUUUGAUACUGUUUAGCUAGAGUUUGGUAGAGGGGAGUGGAAUUUCCGGUGUAGCGGUGAAAUGCGUAGAGAUCGGAAGGAACAUCAGUGGCGAAGGCGGCUCUCUGGACCAAAACUGACGCUGAGGUGCGAAAGCGUGGGUAGCAAACAGGAUUAGAAACCCCGGUAGUCC
rnacentral:rRNA from 1 species